UGGGGAAUUUUGGACAAUGGGCGAAAGCCUGAUCCAGCAAUGCCGCGUGUGUGAAGAAGGCCUUUGGGUUGUAAAGCACUUUUGUCCGGAAAGAAAUCCUUGGCUCUAAUACAGUCGGGGGAUGACGGUACCGGAAGAAUAAGCACCGGCUAACUACGUGCCAGCAGCCGCGGUAAUACGUAGGGUGCAAGCGUUAAUCGGAAUUACUGGGCGUAAAGCGUGCGCAGGCGGUUUGCUAAGACCGAUGUGAAAUCCCCGGGCUCAACCUGGGAACUGCAUUGGUGACUGGCAGGCUAGAGUAUGGCAGAGGGGGGUAGAAUUCCACGUGUAGCAGUGAAAUGCGUAGAGAUGUGGAGGAAUACCGAUGGCGAAGGCAGCCCCCUGGGCCAAUACUGACGCUCAUGCACGAAAGCGUGGGGAGCAAACAGGAUUAGAUACCCUGGUAGUCCACGCCCUAAACGAUGUCAACUAGUUGUUGGGGAUUCAUUUCCUUAGUAACGUAGCUAACGCGUGAAGUUGACCGCCUGGGGAGUACGGUCGCAAGAUUAAAACUCAAAGGAAUUGACGGGGUCAUAGCUGUUUCCU
rnacentral:rRNA from 1 species